CUUAUUUACACAUUUUUGAGCACUUUGAAGGAAGUUGCCAUGAUCGCUGUGUUUCAUGGAGUACCUAAGUCCAGUCUCUGAGUCAAUUUGACUAUGGGAAUAAUAUGGGCUGUGAAAAUAUUGAAAGGAUAGGAAAUAGUAAAACAUAAAUUCUGGAAACAUUCAUUUUUGGGUGUGUUUGGAUUAAGUGACAUGUUUUCUUACGGUUCUCAGAUGAUGUUUCAAUGCUUUGGCAGAACCAUAAAUAACGCUGGGUCCACUGAGUAUUUUAAGUAUAUACUGUAUGUAUUUUAAUAUCAUGAUACAAAAGGAGAUAACUAUGUGUAAAUACAUUGUACUGACAUUUUUCCAUGUGAAUGGUGAAUGGUACAGGGGCAAAUUUCCCAAUGGAAAGGUCCACCAUUAGAGAGAUGUUAAUGGAACAUUACUGUCUGAGAGAGGGGAUCAUGUCCUCAAAUGGUUCAAUUAUAGACAUUUGUCAGAUUAGCCAAUAAACAUACUAAUGAGUCCAAAGAAAAAUAAGCAAAGGCAGAGCCUUAUUGCGCUGCAUACACAGAAAUUCAGUAAUUUCCAUUAAGUAUGUGAUUAACUGUGUUUAAUAGGGAGAUUCCCCUAUCCUAUCUAUUGGCUUCGCUGUUAAUCUCAGACCAUCAUUAACACGCAAAAUUCAAUUAAAACACUUGAUUGGUUAAUCAAGCCACAUACAUAAUUCAGACCUGACGUCCUCUCUCAUCUCUCUUUUCUUUCUCUCUGUUGUUUCCUAACAACCUCUGUCAUAAGGCAGCACAGACGUCCAAAUGUAUACAACAGUGUUGUAUAGAGGGUUACAGUGCUGUGAAAUGUGCUAUGUACAGAGUUACAAUGUUACAUAAAGUGUUAUGUAGUGUUCUAAACUGGUUGCUACGAAUCCUAAGUGCCGUUUUGGCUGAUACCCAUGAUAUAUGAGAAUGGGUAUGUCAUAAUAUCAAUUUACUGGUAGUAGUUGCUUUGGUAACACGUUUAUAAUCUCAAUAGGGCAUCUCAAGGCUUUAUGGUAUAUUUGGGACUGCGACCUGCCUAGGAUUUAUUCUUAGCUGUGGUGUAUUGGCCAUAUACCACAACCCCUUGUGAUGUAUUUCUUUUUUGUAUAGUUAUACAGUGGUAUAUACAGUGUUGCUGUGUUAUAUACAAUGUCCAUCUUCUCCAGAGCAUGCCAUUCAGUAAACAUAUACAAUUAUACGCACCCAUACACAAACACACAGAUAUUAUUUUUCUUUUUUGACUGAGCAGUCACUGUUUCAAAUUCUUCCAAACUUUACACGUCUGUAGCCGUGGUUCCCUGAAUUAGGGGACGUGGAGGGGACAUGUGUAUUUGAGGAGGGGACGUGUUGGGUUAUGUAUUAGAGGAAGGGACAUGGUGGGUUAUGUAUUAGAGGAAGGGACAUGGAGGGUUAUGUAUUAGAGGAAGGGACAUGGUGGGUUAUGUAUUAGAGGAAGGGACAUGGUGGGUUACGUAUUAGAGGAAGGGACAUGGUGGGUUAUGUAUUAGAGGAAGGGACAUGGUGGGUUAUGUAUUAGAGGAAGGGACAUGCUGGGUUAUGUAUUGGAUGAAGGGACAUGGAGGGUUAUGUAUUGGAGGAUGGGACAUGCUGGGUUAUGUAUUAGAGGAAGGGACAUGGUGGGUUAUGUAUUGGAGGAAGGGACAUGCUGGGUUAUGUAUUGGAUGAAGGGACAUGGAGGGUUAUGUAUUGGAGAAAGGGACAUGGUGGGUUAUGUAUUGGAGGAAGGGACAUGGUGGGUUAUGAAUUGGAGGAAGGGACAUGCUGGGUUAUGUAUUGGAGGAAGGGACAUGCUGGGUUAUGUAUUAGAGGAAGGGACAUGGUGGGUUAUGUAUUGGAGGAAGGGACAUGGUGAGUUAUGUAUUGGAGGAAGGGACAUGGUGGGUUAUGUAUUGGAGGAAGGGACAUGCUGGGUUAUGUAUUGGAGGAAGGGACAUGCUGGGUUAUGUAUUGGAGGAAGGGACAUGGUGAGUUAUGUAUUGGAGGAAGGGACAUGGUGGGUUAUGUAUUGAAGGAAGGGACAUGCUGGGUUAUGUAUUGGAGGAAGGGACAUGCUGGGUUAUGUAUUGGAGGAAGGGACAUGGUGGGUUAUGUAUUGGUGGAAGGGACAUGGUGUGAUGAGUACCGGAGAAGGGGACGUGGUGUGAUGUGUACUGGAGAGGGUGAUGUGGUGUGAUGUGUACUGGAGAAGGGGACGUGGUGUGAUGUGUACUGGAGAGGGUGAUGUGGUGUGAUAUGUACUGGAGAAGGGGACGUGGUGUGAUAUGUAUUGUAGGACGUGAAAGAAAUCAUGGCACAUCCACAUUUAUUCAGGACCGCUCUUCAUUGCAUCUGGACAGUGCAGGGCCUUAACGACUGGAAAGCUCCUGGUAAUGUAUUUGCUUUGUGAGCUGUACCCCAGACCAACCCUGAGGGAAGCAGCUCUCGAGAUCAAUGUAAUGGUUCCGUUUCCUCAAGAGAUGACAAGACCACGCGUGUUGUUAAAAUGGGUAGACAAAAGUUUUGCCAAAAUGCACCUGGAGGCAUCUGUCAAGACUCCAUGAAGUCAAAUGUGGAUCUUGUUGGAAGAUGGCAUUUCACAGUAUUGACUCCAUGUCAAAGGUCAAGAUUGGUAAUGGUAGAGUGGAUCCUUUACUGCAUCCACUGUAAGGACCUGAAAGACUUCUAGCACUGAAGGGAACAAUCAUUUCUGCAGUAGAACAUUUGACAAUCCGCCUUGAGCAUCUGAACCACACCUUGGUCAUGCAGCAAGACAACAUUCCCAAAUACACAAGCAGGUUUUGGAAAAGCAUAGUCAAUGAGGCCCUAAACAGAAAUGAGAUUUGGCGGGACUUGUAAACAGAGCAGUUUAUGCUAAAAGCCCACGAAUGUCACUGCGUUAAAGCAGUCCUCUACGGAACAGUGGGACAAAAUUAUACACAAACGAGUUGAGAGACUGACUAAAAACUACUGGAAGUACUUAACUGCAGUCAAUACGCAAAAGUCAUUUGUGUUACAUAACUUUAUUUAAUAAAUUAAUUAAACAAGUAGACAUAUGUCGUUGUUUAUUCAGGUCCGCUUAAUUUAAUAUAUAUUUUUGGUUAAAGAUAUGAAAACAUUCAGUAAAAAAUACAUUUAAAAAAGACAGUUAGGAAGGAGGCAGUUUUUCGCUGCACUGUAUUUCCCAGGUUUUCUCUCUCGUCUCUCCUCCCAAUCAGACCACACGCUUAUCUAUCGAUGCUAGCUGAGGACACAUGGUUGAGGUCUGAGACUGACGUUGUUUCACUGCGACUUGGUAUUUUUAAUAUGGAUAAUCCCCUGUUGUAUAAAGGAAUUACCGCCAUACAUUACAGUAAAUCUCUGCAGAGGAGCUUAAACUUCUGCACACCUGUAAAUCAGUUAUGCAGGGAGAGACUCUAAUUAAUACAUCAAGUGGACUUAACACUGUUUACAAUGGCAUUAGCUGCCCAGUGGAUCUGAUUUAGCCCGGCUUCCAUCAUCCCUUCACCCACUCCAGAUUAAUAGCCCUGAGCCCUUUGUCCAGCAUUGUCCGGCAGUCAUCCUGAUUGGACUUGUUCUUAUGGAUGUGCUGAACCUCAGGUGACCUCACUCAGCCAGAAACAGACUGACACAGACUGGCACAAUGAGGAUGCCUACUGUACCUCAUCUGAAGCCCGGAGAGAGAGAGAGAGAGAGAGAGAGAUGGGGAGAAAAGAAGUGAGAGAGAGAGAGAAGGAGAAAAACCGAGAGCGAGACAGAGAAAGACAGAGAGGGAGACAGAAAGGGAGACAGAGAGGGAAACUGAGGGAUCUUUGUAGACUUAUGGAGAUUGUGGUGGGGAAUGGAGAAGAAGCAGUGGACAUAAUAGAAGACAAGGCAACAGAGGGUAGAAUGGAUAAGUAGACGCAGCAAGCACACUUUCUUAUUAUUCCUCUGACACAAAUCCAUACAUUCUGGCAAUAGGUCUCGCAGUCAUCCCAUGAAUAACUUUACUUUGAACCAAUCAACAUGUUCAACAGACAUGGUAUUCUAAGAAGCAUUUCUAUAUUUCCAGUAGAGUAGUUCUUAAAACAACCAUCUCUCUGACUAAUGCAUUCCUUAGGGGAUUAAAAAAAGCUCAUUUAUCCUAAAAUGGACUUAUCACCCUAAAGCUAAUUGGGAUUUACACAAUCACAUGGGAUGACAUGAACAAUACCAAGUAUUCCACCUCACCACAGCAAUACUAUAGUAAAUAGUCACAAUGGCUGUUCCCUGUUGUAAACAGCCCGCAACAAAACCAAAACAACCUUACCUCAGGUGCACACCGAAAAAGUUUCCCAUGUUAUCUACAGGGACCCCAUGCUGGAAGGUUAAACCAAUUUCAAUCAUAAAACUGAACCCACCCCCCAGAAUUCUGAACAUAUUACUACUGCCAGCCCAUGAAUAUGUAAGACCCUGGGGAGCGGGCUGGUCCCAGAGAUGUACUGGCUUUAAUCAACGCAGUGGCAAUGAUGAACGCAAUCACAGCUCAUUUGCAUAUCUAAAGCAAAGGGGAAAUUGCCCGUAAAAAAGGCAAAUUAAAAAAACAGACAAACAUGUGACUAGCCGCAGAGACUAGGGGGCGCAGUUCACAGGGCUGGAUGGGAAACAUUCACACAUCUGCCAAAUGGCAAAGCCCUAUGUAAAUCUGUCCUGUCCGCGUGACUGCGAGAGCUGUGUCUGUCUGCGUCCAAGUGGCUUGUGGCUGUGAACGCUGUAUCUGUAAGCUGAGUAGGUGUGCAUUAAAAUGUGCGUAGGUAUCUGUUUUCGAAGGUGCGUAGCUGCUCGUCUGAAGUUGCGUAGGGGUGGGGCAACGCAACUACAGGGUUGUGGGUUUCAUUCCCACGGGGGCACGGGGGGGUCAGUAUGAAAAAGUAUGAGUGUGUCCACUCUUUACUCCAAGCCGCUCUAGGCCAGCAUCGUGACUGUGUGCUGGGAUCCAUGGGAGUCUGGGUCUGUAGGCGACUGUGUGCUGGGAACCAUGGGAGUCUGUGUCUGUAGGCGACUGUGUGCUGGGAACCAUGGGAGUCUGUGUCUGUAGGCGACUGUGUGCUGGGAACCAUGGGAGUCUGUGUCUGUAGGCGACUGUGUGCUGGGAACCAUGGGAGUCCGUGUCUGUAGGCGACUGUGUGCUGGGAACCAUGGGAGUCUGUGUCUGUAGGCGACUGUGUGCUGGGAUCCAUGGGAGUCCGUGUCUGUAGGCGACUGUGUGCUGGGAACCAUGGGAGUCUGUGUCUGUAGGCGACUGUGUGCUGGGAACCAUGGGAGUCCGUGUCUGUAGGCGACUGUGUGCUGGGAACCAUGGGAGUCUGUGUCUGUAGGCGACUGUGUGCUGGGAACCAUGGGAGUCUGUUUCUGUAGGCGACUGUGUGCUGGGAACCAUGGGAGUCUGUGUCUGUAGGCGACUAUGUGCUGGGAACCAUGGGAGUCUGUGUCUGUAGGCGACUGUGUGCUGGGAUCCAUGGGAGUCUGUGUCUGUAGGCGACUGUGUGCUGGGAACCAUGGGAGUCUGUGUCUGUAGGCGACUGUGUGCUGGGAACCAUGGGAGUCUGUGUCUGUAGGCGACUGUGUGCUGGGAUCCAUGGGAGUCUGCUGUGAAAUAUAACUUUCAAGUAUUUACAAUAACAUUUGCGUCACUUAACAGGCGCUCUUAUCCCGAGUGACUUACAGGAGCAAUAACGGUUAAUUGCCUUUGCUCAACGCCUUAUUGACAGAUUUUCACCUAGUCUGAAUGGAGAUUACCAAGCUAUUUGCCGCCUCUUUCACAAUCAUAACCGAUUGUUAUGUUGUCAGGCAGGAACACAAGGAGAUGCAAGGUUUUUCCUGAACGGUAUGUAGACAGAGGAUCGUAACUGCCAGUGAGGCCAAGAUCUCAUGGGUAUACGGUCAAAAUAGCGCUCUAUGGAAAUAGCACAAAUAAAACAGGCAUUGCCGCUCCUGUUGACAAUGGCAUGACUGGUAUCCAGGAGUUUUCCAGAUGGCCAGAGUACAAGGCCUGGUCUGCUCUAAGUACUUCUAUGGCUUCCAUGAUCUAAAGUAAACCUCCCCACAUUAACUUCCAUCCUCUUAAAUCUCCCCACUCCAUACAGUAUCUCACAAAAGUGAGUACACCCCUCACAUUUUUGUAAAUAUUUGAUUAUAUCUUUUCAUGUGACAACACUGAAGAAAUGACACCUUACUACAAUGUAGUGAGUAUAUAGCUUGUAUAACAUUUGCUGUCCCCUCAAAAUAACAAAACACAAGGCCAUUAAUGUCUAAACCGCUGGCAUCAAAAGUGAGUACACCCCUAAGUGAAAAUGUCCAAAUUGGGCCCAAAGUGUCAAUAUUUUGUGUGGCCACCAUUAUUUUCCAGCACUCCCUUAACUCUCUGGGCACCUUCUGUUUGAGGAUGCCCCACAGAUGCUCAAUAGGGUUUGGAGGUGUGUUUGGGGUCGUUAUCAUGUUGGAAUACUGCCCUGUGGCCCAGUUUCCGAAGGGAGGGGAUCAUGCUCUGCUUCAGCAUGUCACAGUACAUGUUGGCAUUCAUUGUUCCCUCAAUGAACUGUAGCUCCCCAGUGCCGGCAGUACUCAUGCAGCCCCAGACCAUGACACUCCCACCACCAUGCUUGACUGUAGGCAAGACACACUUGUCUUUGUACUCCUCACCUGGUUGCCGCCACACACGCUUGACACCAUCUGAACCAAAUAAGUUUAUCUUGGUCUCAUCAGACCACAGGACAUGGUUCUGGUAAUCCAUGUCCUUAAUCUGCUUGUCUUCAGCAAACUGUUUGCAGGCUUUCUUGUGCAUCAUCUUUAGAAGAGGCUUCCUUCUGGGACGACAGCCAUGCAGACCAAUUUGAUGCAGUGUGCAGUGUAUGGUCUGAGUAAUGACAGGCUGGCCCCCCACCCCUUCAACCUCCACAGCAAUGCUGGCAGCACUCUUAUGUCUAUUUCCCAAAGACAACCUCUGGUUAUGACGCUGAGCAUGUGCACUCAACUUCUUUGGUCGACCAUGGCGAGGCCUGUUCUGAGUGGAACCUGUCCUGUCAAAACGCUGUAUGGUCUUGGCCACCGUGCUGCAGCUCAGUUUCAUGGUCUUGGCAAUCUUCUUAUGGCCUAGGCCAUCUUUAUGUAGAGCAAACAUUUUAAAAAAUCUGAUCCUCAGAGAGUUCUUUGCCAUGAGGUGCCAUAUUGAACUUCCAGUGACCAGUAUGAGGGAGUGUGAGACCAAUGACACCAAAUUUAACACACCUGCUCCCCAUUCACACAUGAAACCUUGUAACACAAACGACACCGGGGAGGGAAAAUGGCUAAUUGGGCCCAAUUUGGACAUUUUCACUUAGGGGUGUACUCACUUUUGAUGCCAGCGGUUUAGACAUUAAUGGCCGUGUGUUUUGUUAUUUUGAGGGGACAGCAAAUUUACACUGUUAUACAAGCUGUACACUCACUACAUUGCAGCAAGGUGUCAUUUCUUCAGUGUUGUCACAUGAAAAGAUAUGAUCAAAUAUUUACAAAAAUGUCAGGGGUGUACUCACUUUUGUGAGAUACUGUAAACUCAUACUUUCAGUCGUUCCUCAGCUAAUCAGUUGCAGGAUCACUUCAACAAGAAGCUGUCUCAAGUUCUGUGACCCCCAUCAUCCAAAACUCCAUCUGUAGGCUGCUAACCUAAUGAUCUUUAACCUUUAAGAAACUCUCAUAAACCCAUCAACAAGGGCCAUUGAACCUCUGCUGUUGCUCUUUUCAACCAAAAAGGCCGCCUAGUAUUUUUCUUCCAGCGCAAGCCAGACUCAUUUUGUGUGAAAUGUAUUCUUCUCUGUUGCCUGAAAUAACUGUGUUCAAAGCAAAAUAAACAAAAAAGAGUAACAGAGAUUAACUUUGUAUUACAUGUCACUGCACUCAUACUUAAGACCCUAUUCAGAUUUAAGUUAACCUAAGCUAUUCAGAUUAAAGUUAACCUAACACGAACUUAUGAACUCAUGAAAUAUUUGGUCUUAAAUCUAUGGAAAUCCAUAUUUUGUCAGCUUACACGCAUUAUGAAAAUGAUGUUUUACUGCUUCCCUCAUAGGAACCAUAGAUGUUAAGAGAUACAGUAAGUGGCGGUUGGCCUGUUUACAAUAUGGAGCUGAGUGCACAACCUCACAGUAACAAUGAGGUGUCCUGUUUUAUGAUGUUUUUGUAUCUGUGUACGUCUGAUUUAUGGUGCUCGGCAUAUGGCUGGGGAGUGGUGGGAACACUAAGUAUAGAUACUUCAUCUGGCCCCAGAGCUGCCAGGGAGACAGAGCCCCCACCCCGACUCCUUCUAUGGUUUCUUUAUCUAAUUUUCAGUCUCCUCAAGCCCUUCCUGUGUCCUCCAGCCCUUCCUGUGUCCUCCAGUCCUUCCUCUCUCUUCCAGCCCUUCCUGUGUCCUCCAGUCCUUCCUCUCUCUUCCAGCCUUUCCUGUCUCCUCAAGCCCUUCCUGUCUCCUCCAGUCCUUCCUGUCUCCUCCAGCCCAUCUUGUCUCCUCAAGCCCUUCCUGUCUCCUCCAUCCCUUCCUGUCUCCUCCAGUCCUUCCUAUCUCCUCCAGUCCUUCCUGUCUCCUCCAGUCCUUCCUCUCUCUUCCAAACCUUUCUGUCUCCUCCAGUCCAUUUCUUUGGAUACUAUCACUCUCGUCACCCAGUCCCUGACUCUGUCCCCAGGCGUCCUAUGCCUUAGGCUAAUCCAGUACACUCCAGUACACAACACACUCAUCCCAUUAUGCAGAACAAACGUAAAUGCAGCUGCAAUUUCAACACUAGCUCACACAAGUUGAAGAGUUCACUUCCAAGACCAGAUGAAAGAAAUGUUUCACAUUUACAUUUUGCAUGAGUAUGAAUCAUGGCGCUCAUCAAAUAUUAAAAACAUUUUAGUCAAGUGUGCCUAUAAAUAUUACUUUAUAUGCCUUGUUUAGCUUGAAUGGACCAUUCAUAUUAGCUGCAUCUUUAACCCCUGUGUAACAGAUUUCACAGGACCCCCUAUCCAGGAUGAGUUUGACUCAGAUACCGGAGCCAAGGACUCACAACAAAGAGCACCGGAAGAAUGCACUAACAAUGUGGACAACAGCAAAUAGGUCUAGAGGGCAUCAGCAUACAUUGUCUGCAAACAUCUAGAGGCCUGUAUUGACCUCAAUCUGGAUCCAUUUUUAUUGUGUGAGUGAACAUAAAUAACCCGAAAGCCUGGAGGAGGCAGCCCAUUGCUAAGUUCCUCCGGAUGACACAUUGAGUUUGUGUUGAUAUGCCCUCCACCCUCACUUUGAGUCCCUUACAGAGAGUCUACCUGGAUGUAAACCUAUCAAGCUGAAAUGACCUGCAAUGCCCCAGGAAUCACUACCUUUGUCCACACUUUCAUGGGAAUGAUGACCUAACGAAAAUCUGGUUCCAUUCCUUUCUAGUAAUAAUCUGGACUUGAGUCAGGUGUAAACCCUAUGACUGAAUAAAGCUAGCUUAGGAUAUGUGCUUUCAUUUGAUCUGUUGGAAUUAAGCCCAACUCUGACAUCUCAACUGAUGACCAAAAGACAACCAAUGACCAAAUAACAACCAAAGACAAAAAGACGACCAAUGACCAAAUAACAACCAAUGAGCAAAAGACUACCAAUGACCAAAUGACAACCAAUGACCAAAAGAUGACCAAUGACCAAAUAACAACCAAAGACAAAAAGACGACCAAUGACCAAAUAACAACCAAUGAGCAAAAGACUACCAAUGACCAAAUGACAACCAAUGACCAAAAGAUGACCAAUGACCAAAUGACAACCAAUGACCAAAAGACGACCAAUGACCAAAUGACAACCUAUCAGAUGUAGGGCUACAAAAAAAAGAUGCACAGGGAGCCCCAGGAGAAGUCCUCUUCUAAACCACUGAUUUGGAUAUUUUUUUACUGUAAAGAUGACGAACGGACAUGUGACUGGAGUGGCUUGUUUAGGAUUUCACCAGCCUAAGCAGUAAGGUCGUGAAAUAAAUAUGACACUGUUGGAAAUGCCAUUAACAUGGAAGUUGAACAGCCAACAACUAGGAACGUGACAACAUAAAAGAAUUGCAUGAAAAUACCCACCCACGCUGAGCCUAUACCUGGACUACCCAUGAGGGAUGCUGUUAAACAGUUAAGUCAUUUAGCAGACUCUCUUAUCCAGAGCAACUUGCACUGCUUAGUCAGCUACCUUACGUUAAAUCACAAUCAGCUUUGUUUGCUAUGAAUAUUUACAUAUUUUCCUAACUUUGAAAUUCUUUCAAAGUUACACGUCAAGAGAAUUCUGGAUAUCUGUAAAUGUGCUAUGAUUCUGAUGAUAGUUGUUCACUAAAUAUAGAACAGAAUACAGACAGUUCCGUUUAAACCAAGAUGACACAUUCAUCGUGUAUAUACACAAUUCGUGUUGAGCAAAUGAGAAAUGGACGUGCAGCGAUGAUAUAAAUAUGUUUACAGUCGAUGUACACAUCCACACAUCCACGUAUAUACAGUUCCAGUAAAGGCGUCUAUCUAGAUGAAGCACAGUGCAGCUGUUGCUAACAGUCGACAGUUUGGAGGAGUCUUGCUGUCGAGAGCUUAGAGCCGUUAGACUCUAUGAGGACAUGCGCCAGAUUCCUGAGGGUCAAAGCACCAAGACAGAGACUGUUCAGGCCGUAGGAUGUUUGCCAACCGCGACCAAAGUGCCGUAGCCAACCUCAGCCAAUGCACAAUAGCCAAACAUGAACAACGCAUCGUAGCUAAAUCCAAAAAUGUUAGCCCAGAAAUGUGUGAGCACUGUGAGUAUUUGAAUGCAAUAUGUGGUUGCUGUGCACACAGCCCCUGUGGGUCUUUGAAAAGCACUACAUUAAGUGCCAAUUACUAUAACUAGUACUGCAGUAGCCAUCAGAAGACAAAUGGGAAUCGCUGGGAAUGAGAGCAUCUGCUGAAUGUCAGGUUUAAUAUUUUACAUACAGAUGGAUUAUUAGUUGAUAGUUAUAUAUUAAAUAUUGUCAAAGGUUUAACUUCUAAGGUUUUUCAGUAAUGUCUGGACAUUUAUUUAAUUUUUUU
ensembl:lncRNA